rnacentral:rRNA from 1 species
CUACGUGUGGCUGUAGUGGGGAAUAUUGGACAAUGGGCGAAAGCCUGAUCCAGCCAUGCCGCGUGUGUGAAGAAGGCCUUCGGGUUGUAAAGCACUUUCAGUGGGGAAGAAAGCCUUGGGGCUAAUACCCUCGAGGAAGGACAUCACCCACAGAAGAAGCACCGGCUAACUCCGUGCCAGCAGCCGCGGUAAUACGGAGGGUGCGAGCGUUAAUCGGAAUUACUGGGCGUAAAGCGCGCGUAGGCGGUCUGAUAAGCCGGUUGUGAAAGCCCCGGGCUCAACCUGGGAACGGCAUCCGGAACUGUCAGGCUAGAGUGCAGGAGAGGAAGGUAGAAUUCCCGGUGUAGCGGUGAAAUGCGUAGAGAUCGGGAGGAAUACCAGUGGCGAAGGCGGCCUUCUGGACUGACACUGACGCUGAGGUGCGAAAGCGUGGGUAGCAAACAGGAUUAGAUACCCGAGUAGUC